GGCUUAACCUAAAAACUUGGCAGCACUGCGUAUUAAAUGUUCCGAAAUCAGCUGACAAGACAAAUAUACAGUUGUAAAGGAAUUGUCAAACGUCAAACAUAAAAAUUUACAGAAGAAACAAACUAAAAAAAAAACAAAAAAAAUUUCGAAAUUCAACAAUUGAUUAGCAACUUUUAUAUUUCCAUUCGAAACAAAAUUAUCAGGGCUAUUCGUGAAUUGUGAUACUCGACCGAGAGAAGUCUAUACCUUUCAAUCAAGUCAACACUUCUAAUCCUCUUGUCGCUGAUGAGGAUGCUCUUAUUCAGCGUCGAUCCAAAAAACAAAUUGGUGGAUUCAUUUAAUCAAAAGUUUAACCAGAACCCAAGGGAAGGGUAGUGAACCCCAACAGAGCCAUUUGCCUUAUUUUCUGGAUAUACCAUUGAGAACAAUAAGUAUAUCAAGUCCGCCACUUGGCGCAGGAGCUGUUGGUGAUGCUGAUCCAUGGAACUCCUCUCCAGCUAGAGCUGCAAAGUCAACUCUUUGUUGAGUUUUAUUUAGCAACUUGUGCUCUCUGAUCCUUGGUCAGGUACAUCGUACAUCGUCACCACAAAUCGAUGCUUGACAUGCCAAUGUUCCUUAAGCAUCUGGUGGUGCUGCUGGUGGUGUUGAAGGAUGUCUCACACAAUAUACUCAAUCACCAUCUGUAGCUUCUGGUUCCUUCUGACUGCAGAGCAACAUCUUUCAAAUGAUACCAUGAAUGGCAAUUCAUCAACCUCACUAUAUCUGAUCCUUGGUUAUCGAAAACUUCAGCUAUAGGAGCAGCAACUGCUGCAUCUCCACCGUCUCUACCAUUAGUUCAAAAUACCAGACCAGUAGUGGUUCGGGUGAUCCUUCGCUGCUUGUAUAUGUAUAUGAAGCAAAAUCAUUAGAAAAAUCAUCAUCAAGAUCCUUGGGCACCAAAAGCUCAACCAAUCUCUGCUAAUAAUGGUGAUCCAUGGAGGAGAACUAGAAAUGAGGCAUCGUCAGUGGCAAAUGUUUCACCUGAUUUGGAUGACUGAUAUAAAUACGAAUAGAGUGGAGACUACACGACACUUGGCCCAAACAUUAACAAUUCAUCACUUUUGGAUAAAUUGGAUCCAUUAUCAACAAGAAACCAUCAUUGAAAAAACCGCAAUCGUUCUUGGGUCAAAAGUCAGCGUUAGUGAAUUUGGACAAUUUAGUUAAACCAAUUGCGACGAGCAAUACAAUUGGCAGUGUAGCUUCCAGCGUACAAUAAAUUUAGUGAUACAAUUGCACCUAAAAAAAUCUAGUGUAACGUCGUCAGUAC